GUUAUUAUUCCGAGUUAUUUUCCCGUGUUAUUUUAUUCGCUAUUUUUAUAGCAAAAGUAAUACCUUUGACCAUGUGAUCAGUGAAAGGACUUAGAUUCACAUUGGUACUGGUACGUAGCCUCUAGCCAUGUAGAGCAUGUCUCCAUAAGAUACUGACUUCUAUUCUAUGACAUUGGCAAAUGGUUAGACAGGGCUAUAAGCCUGAAAUCUACCAAGAUGUUAAUCAGAAAUAUUAUGUCUUCUGUGCCAUUUGGGCCGAAGUUUUCUUGAUGUAUAUCAAGUAUGGAAAUUGUUAUAUCUCAUUGAUUGUAUACCUUUGAAUCAAGUCAUUGUUUGAUAUGGAAAGCUUAACACAUGAUUCACAUAUGCCUUUUUUGCUCCUUGAUUCUCUUUGCUUCUGCCAUANGUCUCUUUUCUCCUUUUUUUCUUUUUUUCCUUUCAUAUAUAUAUAUAUAUAUAUAUAUAUAUAUAUAUAUAUAUAUAUAUGACAUAGCAUUAUAUUGUAUCUAUUAUUGAACUCAUUAAGCGUCACCGCUUACCCUAUCAAUGUUUAACAAUUGCAGGUGAUAAGUAACUAGUAUACUCAUACAUUGUUGAAAGAAUUAGAAUAGUUUGUAAUAAUACUUUUGUACUUCAGUUUAUGUUUGUAUAAAUUACAAUAUCCUGGGUAGUUAUGUAAUAUAUAACACUUUAAUUUGUAAUAGUCGGUUUGUAUCCAGUAGUUUGUAACCUCUUUAUCAAUGUAAAAUAUUGCUUUUAUGAAUAUGCAAGUAGCAUGUUUUGGAGUAAUAGUAUUGUGAAGUAUGAAAGUUUAGGUCUUUCAGAAAUACGAAAGUUGGGGUCUUUCAAUCAUGGUAUCAGAGCAGUAGUUUAAGCGAACUAAAUGCCAAGGAUUGGUAUUUAGACUUAAACUAUUGGACGUUCAAUAUAUGAACAGAAUCAUUAUAAGUAUAUGGAUACAAACCAUAGGAAAUACUUAAGUGAAGUAUUAGGCUUUAAUAAAUCCUAAUAUUCUAAAAUUCUAUAUUACUCCUAAAUUUCAGAACGAUGGCUGAACAAGUAAGUAGCCAUACCCAUGAGGUUGGUCGAGGUCCUCAACCCGAGGUAGUGAAUACUCCAGUAUCUCCUCGUGAGGAGCGACUCUUAAGUAAACUUACUGGUGUUAUUCGACAGACUCUCGAAGAACACAAAAAGAAUGGUGAUAAAGGAAAAGAGAAAGCCCUGGAGAAUCNGAAAGGUGAAGCGUCCCUUGUUCAAAAAUUUCAAGAGUAGUGGUGCUACGGAGUUUUCUGGUGUCCUUAAUCCCGUAGUUGUUCUAACUUGGAUUCAGAACACCGAGAAAGUAUUUCGUGUCUCUCAUGUGGAUAAUGAAGACAACGCUAUCUAUGCUUCUGCAAUACUCAUCUGAGAAGCCUUGGUCUGGUGGGAAGCAACAUAUGAAGCUCUUAAUGGAUAUGACCAGGAGAAUUUAUCCUGGGAGUUGUUCAAAACUCGUGUGCUAGAGAAGUAAUGUCCUCUAGAUAUGAGGAGAAGAUUGGAGAAGGAAUUCCUCGAGCUUAAACAAGGAGGAAUGACUGUGAAUGAGUAUGAAACUCAGUUCAAUCAAAAAGCACGGUUUGCUGCAAAGUAUAUUCCAACUGAAGACGAGAAAAUUCAGUUAUUCUUAGAAGGACUACGACAUGAAAUCCAUGAUUUUGUAGCCAAUCGGGAUGUUCUGUCAUUUGAUAAAGCUGUUGAGUAUGCUCGAAGGCGUGAGCAUGACUUAGAGAUACGUGGAGCCACUCAUACUGCUUCGAAGCAUCCACGUACUGAAAGAACUAUUUCUGUUUACACUAUUCCACUAGCUCAAUCUGUUUGAACUGAUCCUAGCAAGCAAGCACAAUCUCAGAGUGCUUUUCGUGGCCGCAGCAGGUCACAAUCUUUUUCUAUUCAAUCGCCUUCAUGUCGUGUUUGUGGAAGGAAUCAUCUCGGUCAAUGCAAAAUAGACAAGGAAUCUAUUGUCUGUUAUGGGUGUGGAGAAACUGGUCAUAUAAAGCGAGCUUGCCCAAGGAAGGAUGUGACUUGCUAUGCAUGUGGUAUUACUGGACACAAGAAUCGUUUUUGCCCUACUCUUACCAGUCAAGUGACGGGAAGUCAAGCUUCUGUUCAACAACCGGCGAGAAGUCAAGUCCCUAUCCAACAACUAAAGAAUACUCCAGCUAAAAAGGAGGAGGUGCCAAAAGCUAAGGGUCGUGCAUUCCAUAUUACCACUGAGGAAGCACGCGAGGACCCGAAUGUUGUGACGGGUACAUUUCUUGUCAACUCUAGACCUGCUCACAUCUUAUUUGAUUCUGGUGCCUUAGAUUCUUUUGUAUCUUAUGGAUUUGCGCAUUCUUUUCAAACUACUUGCUAUGCACUCGCGCAACCAUCUCACGUAGAUACUGCAGGAAGUAUAUCAUUACUUGCUGAUAAAAUCUAUAGGAAUUGUGUCAUAGAAAUUGAAGGCUAUAAUUUUCUUGCUAACCUAAUCCCUAUCUCCUUGCCUAACUUCGAUAUUAUUCUCGGCAUGGAUUGGUUGUCAAAGAACCACGCAGAGCUCUUGUGUUAUGAAAAGAUAGUACGCGUUCCUAUUGAAGGGGAAGAUCCUAUUCAUGUCUACGGUGAACAAAGGAUCUUAAAAAUAAUUUAUUUCCUCAAAACUCGUAAAUUUAUAUCAAAGGGUUGCCCUAUCUAUUUAGCCUAUACAGUUGACAUCUCAAGAAAGGAGAAUAAAACUGUAAAUGAUGUUCCCAUUGUUAAUGAAUAUUCUGAUGUUUUCCCCGAUGAUCUGCCCGGACUUCCUCUGGACAGGCAAGUAGAAUUCUGAAUUGACCUUGUGCCUGGUGCUGCUCCGAUUGCAAAGACUCCUUAUCGUCUUGCGCCAACCGAGAUGAAAGAAAUGAUGAUCCAACUGUAGGAAUUACUUGACAAAGGCUUUAUUCGAUCGAGUACCUCUCCCUGUUGUGCUCCAGUAUUGUUUGUCAAGAAGAAGGACGCAUCGAUGCGAAUGUGCAUUGAUUAUCGUGAGCUGAAUAAGGUGACUAUCAAGAACAAGUACCCACUACCUCGCAUCGACGAUUUGUUCGAUCAACUUCAGGGUGUUAGCUAUUUCUCAAAGAUUGAUUUGAGAUCUAGCUAUCAUCAGUUGAAAGUACAAGAGCAAGAUGUACCAAAGACUGCUUUCCGUACUUGUUAUGGGCAUUUCGAAUUCCUUGUCAUGUCAUUCGGUUUGACAAAUGCUCCUGUUGUAUUCAUGGAUAUGAUGAAUCGAGUAUGCCGCCCAAUGCUCGAUAAAUCUGUCAUUGUAUUCAUUGACGAUAUUCUAAUCUAUUCCAAGUCUGAAGUUGAUCAUGUCGUUCAUAUUCGUGAAAUCUUAGAAAUUCUUCGAAAGGAGAAACUAUAUGCUAAAUUCUCGAAAUGUAAAUUUUGUCUUCGCCAAGUUUAAUUUCUCGGCCAUGUUAUUUCUGGUGACGGUGUAUCCGUAGAUCCUACCAAAAUCGAAGCCAUUCAAAAUUGGGAAGUGCCCCGUAAUGCUUCCGAAAUUUGUAGUUUCAUGGGUCUUGUGGGUUAUUACCAAAGAUUCAUUAAAGACUUUUCUCGUAUAGCUGUACCUCUCAAUAGUCUUACUUGAAAGGAAGCAAAGUUCGAAUGGGGUGAAGCCCAAGAAAAAGCUUUCUCGACUUUAAAAGAUCUUUUGACUCAUGCUCCCAUCUUAUCACUUCCAGAAGGUGAUGAUGAUUUCUCCGUAUAUAGCGAUGCUUCAAGAUUGGGACUUGGUUGUGUGUUGAUGCAACGUGGUAAAGUGAUAGCCUAUGCCUUAAGACAACCGAAAGAUUAUGAAAAGAAUUAUCCCACCCAUGAUCUCAAACUCGCUGCAGUGGUAUUUGCCCUAAAACUUUGGAGACAUUAUCUUUUUGGUACGAAAUGCCAAUUUUUUACCGACCACAAGAGUCUCAAGUAUAUAUUCAGUCAGCAAACUCUGAAUAUGAGACAGCAACGAGCCAUGGAGCUGAUCAAAGACUAUGACUGUGAAAUCAUGUACCAUCCUAGAAAGGCUAAUGUGGUUGCAGAUGCACUUAGCAUGAAGGUUUAUCGUAAUAGUAUGUGCUAUACUAUUACUCAGACUACGGUGAAGUUCACUAUUCUUGAUGAACUAGAGAAGUGGCAAGUUGAGGCCUUAAAGCCAGAAAAUGUGAAGAAACGAGGGAUGGUACAUUAUGCUGAUGUUUUACUUGAUGAACCACGAGGAUUAAAAGUAUUUAAGAAUCGGCUAUCGAUUCCAAAGAUUGGUGGAUUAAGACAGAAUAUUUUAGAUGAAGCUCAUAAGUCUAAGCUGUCAAUACAUCCUGGUACAAGUAAAAUGUACUAUGAUGUAAGAGCUGAUUAUUGGUGGUCUGGAUUAAAGAGAGACAUUCGACUAUAUGUGCAAGAAUGCUUAGUAUGCUUACAAGUUAAAACAGAGCACCAAAAACCAUACGGAACCCCAGAAAGUCUUAGUGUUCCUGUAUGGAAAUGGGAAGAGCUGUCCAUGGAUUUUAUUACCAAAUUGCCAGAGACUGCUAGACAACAUGAUAGCAUUUGGGUAAUCGUCGACCGCCUGACUAAGAGUGCACAUUUUCUCGCCAUGCGUGAAACGGCUCUAAUGGAGAAAUAUGCAUAAGUAUACUUAGAUGAAAUUGUUGCAAGACAUGGUGUGCCACUAAAGAUCAUUUUCGAUCGCGAUACUCGUUUCACUUCUCAUUUUUGGGCGAGUAUGCAACGAGAAUUGGGAUCUCGAGUUUCCCUCAACACAGCUUAUCAUCUCCAGACAGACGGUUAGACAGAGAGAACAAUCCAAAAAGUAGAAGAUAUGCUUCAUGCAUGUGUCUUGUAGUUCGGUGGUAACCUGGAUAAAUACUUGUCUCUUUUCGAAUUUUCAUAUAAUAACAGUUACCACGCUUCAAUAAAAAUGCCACCAUAUGAAGCAUUAUAUGGUCGCAAAUGUUGUACACCAUUAUGUUGGCGUGAUAUAGGAUAGAAGAUCCUUGGAGGCCCUAAAAUGAUUCAAGAUACCAUCGACAAAAUUCAAAUCAUACGAGAAAGAAUGAAAGCGGCCUAGGAUCGACAAAAUUCCUAUACAGAAAAGAGAAGACGACCCAUAGAAUUCCAAGUGGGUGAUUUUGUGAUGCUAAAGGUAUCCCCAUGGAAAGGCCUUAUGAGAUUUGGGAAGACAGGAAAGUUGAGUCCUAGAUUUGUUGGACCUUUCAAAAUCAUCCAGAGAAUUGGAAAGCAAGCAUACCGCUUAGAAUUGCAUGAACAUUUGGCUGGUAUUCAUGAUGUCUUUCAUGUGAGUUAUCUGCGCAAAUGUUUGAGCAUCUACGAGGAGACGGUUCCGUUGUCCGAGGUGAAAUUGGAUAAUAAGUUAAGAUAUGUCGAAGAGCCUGAAGAGAUCGUGAAUGAAAGAACAACUAAGCUACGUAAUAAAGAAGUAGAGUUGGUGCUUGUCAAGUGGAAACCCUAUCGAGGCCCAAAUUAUACUAGGGAAAAUAAGAAUGAGAUAAGAGCGAAACAUCCCCAUUUAUUUUAAUCAAUGUAAUUUCGGGGACGAAAUCCUCAAAAGGAGGAGGUAUUUGUAACAAACAAUUUUUUUAAAUCGUGUUUUGUAAUGAAUAAAAUUGUGAAAUACUAUGUGAAAUUGAGUGUUGAGUUCUAACAGAUAGUUUUUACUAGAAAUGAAGUAAAACUAUGUUUAGAAUCACUCAAAAAAUGUUGGAAGUCUUAUGAGAUUCCAAUUAAAAGUCAAAUAGUGAAAUUUAGCGAAAAUAUAAAAUUUGAAGUAAGGAAAAUUUUAUUAUUGAAAGUUGUAAAUAAUCUCGUUAGAAACUUGUAGGCAAAAAUCUCGUCGAAAUCUGAGUUAUAACGAAGAAGUUAUGACCAAUCGAAAAUUCGCGACAAAACCGACACGGCGCCGAAUGACGUAAAAAGUGAUUUUUUGAUAAAUGACUUUUUAGACUUAGUGACCUAAAUGAAAAUCGUAGUAUUCAUUAAACCGAGAAGUUUGAUAAAAAGAACGCCAAAAUCUGACUUCGUAUGACGAAGUUAUGAUUUUUCUAAGUUUCGGAAUAACAGUAGACAACUAAAAACUCGAAAUAAAGAUCGAACGAUACUUAGCCGACAUGACCUAAACGACAAUCGAAGGUCUCGUCAAUAGUAGUACAACAGUAAAAAGUCCGACGAAAACGGAUGUCGGAAGAAGAAGUUAUGAAUUUUUAACGGAUUUACAUGUCCCGGUCUGUUAAAAAUAAUAAUUUAAAAAUUAAAGUCAAAAUUAGCCAACGAUGUCUAGACAAAAGAUGUAGAGCGUAAUUUUACCUACACAUGCAUAUAAAGAACGUCAAAAACGGAGCCCGUAUGCGAAAGUUAUGGAUUUUAGAAGAUCGGGGCUCAAUUUCCGAGAAAUUAUGGAUAAGACCCGGGGAAUCUCGCAUGAACAGUAGCCGCUCUACCCGGAUCCGACGCAUGUUGCCUUCCGAUUCGUCCGAAGCCGUGUCCAAACCAGCUUCCGACGCGCCUCGCACCGCUGGAGCCAUCCGAGCCGAGCCGUCUGGCAUCCGACCCUCACAUCCGAUCCAGCUGCUGCGUCCGAGCCUUGCUGCUGCGGCUUCUGCCGUCGCAUCCUGAUGUCGCGUGUUCCUUCUGCCAGCACACCCUCCGAACCUCGGCCCUAUAAAAGGGGGGCUGCGAGCCUUCCCAGGUAAUCUUUUAAAAUUGCCAUAUUUUACCUCUUUUUCCAUAUUUUCAUCAUAUUAAAAUUCCCCGAAGCCCCGGUAUCGAUUAUAACCCCCGAAUUACGCCACGAAGUGCCCGAGAAGCCCAUAAAAUUUAUUUUUUCGGUUUUGAAGCCCUAUCUUCGCAAAGCCCGGUUUUCAAUUAAGCUCCUGGUUUUCAACAUAGAAAGUCAUAUUUAAAGCCGAAGCGCUGCCCAAAUUACUAUUUUGACCCCCGGUUAAUGCAAGGUGAGUUCAAUAUAUAGGAACAAUUGUAUGUUAUGUCUUAUAUAUGCUAUGUGCUUUUCAGUGUUAUUAUUCCGAGUUAUUUUCCCGUGUUAUUUUAUUCGCUAUUUUUAUAGCAAAAGUAAUACCUUUGACCAUGUGAUCAGUGAAAGGACUUAGAUUCACAUUGGUACUGGUACGUAGCCUCUAGCCAUGUAGAGCAUGUCUCCGUAAGAGAAUGACUUCUAUUCUAUGGCAUUGGCAAAUGGUUAGACAGGGCUAUAAGCCUGAAAUCUACCAAGAUGUUAAUUAGAAAUCUUAUGUCUUCUGUGCCAUUUGGGCCGAAGUUUUCUUGAUGUAUAUCAAGUAUGGAAAUUGUUAUAUCUCAUUGAUUGUAUACCUUUGAAUCAAGUCAUUGU
rnacentral:lncRNA from 1 species